GUGCCAGCCGCCGCGGUAAUACAUAAGGAGCAAGCGUUGUCCGGAAUUAUUGGGCGUAAAGAGCUCGUAGGCGGUCUUAAAAGUCAGGUGUAAAAUUAUCAGGCUUAACUUGAUACGGUCAUCUGAAACUCUAAGACUUGAGGUUAGAAGAGGAAAGCGGAAUUCCCGGUGUAGCGGUGAAACGCGUAGAUAUCGGGAGGAACUCCAGUGGCGAAGGCGGCUUUCUGGUCUAUCUCUGACGCUGAUGAACGAAAGCUAGGGGAGCAUACGGGAUUAGAUACCCCGGUAGUCCUAGCUGUAAACGAUGGAGACUAGGUGUGGGAGGUAUCGACCCCUUCUGUGACGCAGCUAACGCAUUAAGUAUCCCGCCUGGGGAGUACGGUCGCAAGGCUGAAACUCAAAGGAAUUGGCGGGG
rnacentral:rRNA from 1 species